rnacentral:lncRNA from 1 species
CUGGUCGUCCUUUUCCUCCCAGAGACUGCCGAACGGACGCGCUCGUCGGAUUUAGGGCGGCGUCGCGGUGGCCACCUUUUUUUGUCUUUUUUUCUUCCGCCGCUACGCUGCCCUUUGUGUCUAGUCGUCGUCCUAGGCCAGAGCAAAAAGCCGACGCGCAAAAUACACCGCGCGCAAAAGUCGCGACGACGGCCAGCCAAAAGACGAGAGAGACCAGAAAAAAAAGACGACUCGCGUGAGAACAAAAAGAGAGAGAGAGCCCCUGUGACCCACAAAAGCGCUGCAAGCCCGUCAACGGCCAUGCCAACUAUGUAGUGUAAAGAUAAAAAAAGGACACCAUUUCUCCAGUUCAUUUUUUACGAGCCGGCUUGC